UACGGGGGAUGCAAGCGUUAUCCGGAAUUAUUGGGCGUAAAGGGUCCUGAGGUGGCUAGCCAAGUCUAUUGUGAAAUAUCAGGCUUAACCCUGAACAUGCGGUGGAAACUAGAAAGCUUGAGUACAGUAGGGGCGGAGGGAAUUUCCGGUGGAGCGGUGAAAUGCAUAGAAUAUCGGGAAGAACACCAACGGACGAAAGCACUCCGCUGGGCUGAUACUGACACUGACAGACGAAAGCUAGGGUAGCGAAAGG
rnacentral:rRNA from 1 species